GACGAACGCUGGCGGCGUGCCUAAUACAUGCAAGUUGAGCGCUGAAGGUUGGUACUUGUACCAACUGGAUGAGCAGCGAACGGGUGAGUAACGCGUGGGGAAUCUGCCUUUGAGCGGGGGACAACAUUUGGAAACGAAUGCUAAUACCGCAUAAAAACUUUAAACACAAGUUUUAAGUUUGAAAGAUGCAAUUGCAUCACUCAAAGAUGAUCCCGCGUUGUAUUAGCUAGUUGGUGAGGUAAAGGCUCACCAAGGCGAUGAUACAUAGCCGACCUGAGAGGUUAUCCGCCCCAUUUGGACUUAGACCCGGCCCCAACCCCUUCGGGAGGCAGCAGUAGGGAAUCUUCGGCAAUGGACGAAAGUCUUGCCGAGCAACGCCGCCGUGGUGAAGGAGGGUUUCGGAUCGUAAAACUCUGUUUGUAGGGAAGAACGUUUGUGAGGGUUGAAAGCUCAUCAGGUGACGGUAACUACCCAGAAAGGGACGGCUAACUACGUG
rnacentral:rRNA from 1 species